GAUGAACGCUGGCGGCGUGCCUAAUACAUGCAAGUCGAGCGAACGGACGAGAAGCUUGCUUCUCUGAUGUUAGCGGCGGACGGGUGAGUAACACGUGGAUAACCUACCUAUAAGACUGGGAUAACUUCGGGAAACCGGAGCUAAUACCGGAUGAUAUUUUGAACCGCAUGGUUCAAAAGUGAAAGACGGUCUUGCUGUCACUUAUAGAUGGAUCCGCGCUGCAUCAGCUAGUUGGUAAGGUAACGGCUUACCAAGGCAACGAUGCAUAGCCGACCUGAGAGGGUGAUCGGCCACACUGGAACUGAGACACGGUCCAGACUCCGACGGGAGGCAGCAGUAGGGAAUCUUCCGCAAGGGGCGAAAGCCUGACGGAGCAACGCCGCGUGAGGGAUGAAGGUCUUCGGAUCGUAAAACGCUGUUAUUAGGGAAGAACAUAUGUGUAAGUAACUGUGCACAUCUUGACGGUACCUAAUCAGAAAGCCACGGCUAACUACGUG
rnacentral:rRNA from 1 species